UUGAUAGCAGUAGAAACUGACAGACUUUAAUCCACAAAGCAGGCACAGUAUAGGAAGUGAAAAUAAAAGCUUCCCCUUGAACGUCCUGCUAAUGAGCCUAACCAGAGAGCUGGGCCCAGUUCAGGGCUUAGUUACUACACCCUUUCCAUCCUUCACCUUCU
ensembl:misc_RNA